ACUAUAAAUAAAUAUUCUGCAUCAAUUUUAGGUGUGCUACUGUGGGUGGCUCCGGCACACCCGUGGCUACGCCCCUGCCGUGACCCAAAUCUCGUUCGCACAUCAUCGCGAUAUGUAUCAUCUGUUUACUUACAAACGUUGCCACGCGCUUCAUAAGAUGUAAUUACUGGACUUCUCUCCAAUGCUCUAUUACAACGCAGAGAGGCCAGCAACGCUCCACAAAAGUUUUUGUUAAAAAGGUCAACGUUCAGAGGCAUCACUCAGUACCAGUCAUGCAGAGACUUUAUGAGGCUGUUGUAAGAGGUUAGCCUAUCCCUUGUAUGUCACUGAUGCACUAGUUCAAAGAUGUGAGGACAAGAACAUACACCUGCGAGUAGUCUUAGACAUUGCCUGUGUUGUUGCCUUACAUUUGCAGAAAUCAGGGGAGGGCAUACCACACAACAUCUCCUUAGACUUACCAGCAUUUCAUGUUUAUGGGCACAAAUUGCCCUGCCAGAUCAAGUACAGUACCAGAUGGCUUGAUGGGUUUGGGCUCACAGACGGGGAAGGAAUGGAAAGGCUGUGGUCUUUCCUCCAAAGAUUUGCCAGAGUCACAAAGGAGAUGACUCCAUCUCAUCGCCUUGACCUACUGACUGAUGUCCGCCUUGACGGAGGAAAUCAACUGACCUAGAGGUGCAGCUCCUGCAAAGAGUAGACAAAGCAGAGAAAAUAUUGAUUCUCGCUCCUCAAGAAGAUAUUUCAUCUGUCAUCAGAUAGGUACCAGGUAAACAAUGCACAUAAGAAGCAGGUAACAAUUAGUUGUAGAUGGGAGAAUAUUACAUUCCAUUUAUAAGUGCAAUUUGCACAAGAGUAUUUAGGAUUGAUGUGUGUCUUGUUUUCUGUUAUUGUUGUUGUAUAGUGUUGAUUUCUGAAGGAGACAUGGAGAGAUGGAAAAAAGCUAGCCCAACAGAAACCAAUAAACACUGUCUGUAGAUGGAAAAGGGACUACAUCAUCAGACUGGUUCAGUUCUACAAGUUCAAAUAUUAGAAUUGAGGACUCUGCUGAACAUUGAGAAAAAAUACCGUAUUGGGAGAAGAUGGCAAGAGUCUGAUUCAAACUUCCAGUCUACCCUUAAAGAUGUGGACCGUGAGCUCAGAGUCCAGCUGCAAGGCUAGAACUGAAUCAAAGGAGAGAGAGCAGUCAUCCUCCACCUGAGAAGAAUAUAUCCAGCUUUGCUUCAGAUGGGCAGGACAUUGCCAUUAGACUCUCCAAGCAGGUAGCGACAAUUGAUUUUCAGGAAUCAUGUGAUCCCUCUUGGCAUGUCUACUUCAGCUUUGAUGACACUAUUGAAGAAGAUGAUGUUUCGAGGAGUCUAAAAAAGUGAGGGAUUGAUGCCUUACAUAUGAAGACUUAUGCAAAAGCUGCUCUCAUUCAACGCUUCCAACAGCUGGAAAGAAAACUACAUCAAGCCAUUGUGAUGUUUCACCCACAUGUAUCAGACUUUGUUCCUGCAGACAACCCCCACUUGUGUCAGGCCCUCCCCAUGCCAAGCAUACAGACACUGGUAUACAAUGAUAAGAGUGAUAAUGAUGACAAUGUGGAUAAAUAUGUUAACUAGCACUACAGAUUUUUUUUAAUUUCUAGUCUGAUAUUGUAUUCUGUAAAAAGAAUGAUGUAAAAUGUAUAGUAUAUGUUGCAGCAUAUCAUAGAAACCUUGGUGGUGUAAUAUAAUGUUCGCCUUACUUGUGCAAACAUGUUUUACUAGAUCUGAUUUAUUUUUAAACGUAGUUACUGUUUUUAAGCACACAUAAUCACACUAGUCUGUGUGAGGAGAACAUUGUGUGUUUACCAUUGUGAUGUUACUUAUUUACUGUAAUGUACAAAUGUGGUCAAUGUGUGUAAGGUGUUUUGUUUUUGUGUGCUAAGUUGAAAUGACAAAGUAUUGAAUCUUGAAUCCUUUGAAACAAAUACUGUUAAAGUUUGUAAAAAAUAAAAUGUUUU